AUAGAAAGUAAAACAGAAGAAAGCCAGUCCCUUGUUCCCCCUCUAGCUUCCUUUGUCCCUUAGCACAUUUUUUUUUUUGGACAGAAUCUAUUGGUCACCCACCUGGCAAAGCCCCAAAUCACAAAGAUGAGAAUAAAGGGGUAGACUGGAAACUGAGAGAACAGCCCAAUGACCAACCUGUUUCAAUUCUGGCUAUUUAGCUUAUAUUCAUUCUCUUCUAUACAUCUUUGAAGCUCUAUAAAAUGAUUUUAAAAGGUUUAUACUUUCACCCUAGAUAGAAUCAUCCUUCUCUGUUACUUAAACAAUAUUUAACCUAAGGAACUGGUUUAGCAGGAAAAAAAAGAAAAUAUUGCAACAUCCCAGAAGUGGUAAUAAUAGGAAGCAGUCCCUGCCCCUUGGGCCAGGGUUGCACAAGGAAGGGAUUGGGUGUAUCAGCAUUUAGAAGCCUGGAGAAAGACCCUGGGAACUUGGGCACAGACCCUUGAAUAAGAGGUUCUGUCUAGUGUUGGUGCUGAUGCCUCAAAGAGCACAGAGGAGAGAUCCCCUGUAGAUAUGGAAGUGAGACCCUUGUAAAGAGAGAAAACUCUGGACAGUUUAUGCCACUGUCUCUGAGGGGUGCAGUAAUGUUGGUUCUGAAAAUGGAGGAGGGGAAAAAACCAGAAACUAGAAUCAUCUACUGCUACUGGAAUCAACUGCUGCUGCCAAAGUGGAGAUCUCAUUACUAGCAUUAAGCUGAUGGUGUAGCCUUUGCCUAGUUCACUUCUUGUUUCUUAUUCUUGAUGUUCAUUGAGAUCUUGGGAACUGUGGGAUUAUAGUUUUUAUUAAAUUUGGUAAAGUUUCAAUCAUCAUUCCUUUUUUCCCCCCUGUCCCUCCUGCCUUCUUUCCUUGGGAGACUCUUAAUUUCACAUUCUCUAAGCUAUUUGAAGUUUCCUGAAAGUCUCUGAUACUCUGUCACGUUUUUAAUCAGACUUUUUUCUCUGUUUCAUUCUGAAUAGUUUCUAUUUCAAUCUUCAAGUUUACUAAUCUUUUCUUCUGCAGUUUCUAAUCUGCUUUUAUUUUGCUCUUUGUAUUUUUCAUUCCAGAUAUUAGAGUUUUCAUCUUUAAAAGUUUUAACUUAAAAAAAAUUAGCUUCUGUGUCUCCACUUAACUUGCUCAAUAUUUCUUCAACUUUAUAAAUCAUGUGGAAGACAGUAAAAUAUGUCUUAAUGUUCCUGUUUAUUAAUUUUAUCUUUAUAACUUUAGAUUGGUUAUGAUUGAUUUUUCCAUAUUAUUGGCCUUUUUUCUUGCUUCUUUGAAUGUUUGGUAAUUUUAAUAGCUCUGGAUACUUCAAGAUUAUUUCCUAUAUCUUUCAUUUCUAAUGUAAAUUCAAAUAUAAUGCCAAAUAUUGUGAAUUUUAUCUGCUAGGUGCUGGGUACUUUUGUAUACCUAUGAAUAUUAUUGUGCUUUGUUUGGGGAUGCUGUUAAGUUGCUUGGUAAGUGUUUGAUCCUUUCUGAUCUUGUCUUUAAGCUUUGUGAGGUGGAACAAAAGCAGUAUUUAAUUAUCUCACUAUUAAGGCAAAUCUCUUCUGAAUCCUCAACCUAUUAUUCCAUGAAUUAUGUUUUCCACCAUAGCAGGUAGUAAUAAGGACUAUUCAUCGUUCUGUGGGAGCCUUGAGAAAUAUUUCCCCAUUCCUUUCAAGUGGUUCUUUCCUCAGGCUUGAGCAGUUUUCUCAUAUGCAUGCAGUGAUCCAUCUUCAGUGUAGGUCUCAAUGGAGACCCUCUGCAUAUCUCCAGAGCUCUCUCUUCAUGCAACCUUCUCCUCUCUAUUACUCUGUGCUAUGAAUUUUAGUUCCCUUGCCCUUGCCACAUUUUAAGCUUUGUCCCCUCAGUUCAAGGAGUCUUCUGAACUCCACAUGAGUUCCCUCUCCCUGCACUGAAGCUUGAAAGCAAUCACUUGGAAAACUGGAGCAGUUGUAGAGUUUUCCACAUUUUUUUUCUUUUUACAACUGCACCUGUAGCAUAUGGAAUUUCCUGGGCUAGGGUCAAAUUGCAACUGCAGCUGCAGGCCUACGCCACAGCCACACCAGAUCCAAGUCACAUCUACAAUCUGUACUGCAGCUUGUGGCAAUGCCAGAAUCUUAACCCACUGAGUGAGGCCAGGAAUCAAACCCACAUCCUCACAGAGUCAAAAUAGGGUCCUUGACCUACUGAGCCACCGUGGGAACUUUUCCACUUUUAUUUUUUCAUCUUUCAUUGUCCAAUGUUUAAUAUUUUGAAAACUGUUCAUGUAUAUGUGUAUUUCUGUAUACAUAUAUAUGUGUGUGUGUGUGUGUGUGUUUAAAUUGUUUCAAGCUAGAAAGUAAGUUCAGUCUCUCUGACUCCAUCCUGGUUUUUGGAGUCACCUUGCUUUUUAAAGUAUAUAUUUUUUACUAUAUAUAUAUAUGUAUAGGUUUCCACUUUUUAUUCUAGAACUAAAAGUGUCAUUCCAUUGAUAGUUCCUGAUGAUAAGUCAUCAUUCUUAUUUUGCCCUUUAGCUGCCUUUAGGAUUCUUUUCUACAUCUUUCAUCUUCAGCAGCUUGACUGUAGAGUGGAUAAAGGUAGUUCUCUUGGUGUUUAUUCUAUGUGGGUUCAAUGAGUUUCUGGAUUUUUUAGGUCAGUGUUUUUCCAUGAUGAGAAGCCCUUAUUCCUUACAAUAUUUUUUCUCCUUUUUUCUUUUCUUUUCCUUAUUCUUCUAUUACCUAUAUGUUAGGCCACUUGAUACUACCCCAACAGUCCCUAAAUCUCUGUUAAUAUUUUUAAAAUCCUUUUUCCCUAUUUUCAAGAUUGGAAAUUUUCUGUCAAUAGGUAUUUGGGUUCACCAACUCUUUCUUUAUGACCUGUCUUCCAAUAUGUGUUGAGUCAAUCCAAAUAAUUUUUCUUUUUAGUUACUACAUUUUAUCAGUUCUAGAAUUUACAUUUAGUUGUUUUAUAUAGCUUACAUUUCUCUACUGAGACUGUCUGUUCCCUCAUUAAGAUAAUAUUUCCCUUUAAUUCUUUGAGCAACUUUCUUUUAUUUCCAUAACACAUAAAGACUUCUUUAUCUGCUAAAUACAACAUUUGGGCCAUCUAGGUUCAGUUUCUAGUGACUGCCUUUUUCCUCCUCCACUAUAGGUCCUAUUUACAUAUGUAGUAAUUAUUUAUUAUAUACUCUUGAUAUUAUAGACAAUGUUUUAGAUAUUUUAGAAUAUGUUGUCUUCCUUGGAAGAAUGUUUAUUCUUGUUCUAGCAAGCAAUUCUGUAUUGGCUGGUCACUUUGAGCUUAUGUAGCUUUGUUUGUUUUAUGCUUUGCCAGGAUGAAUUAUGGCACAUUCAGUGUGUUUUCCAAGAUCUUCCUUCUAAUGUGAUGAGAUUCAGUCUAUAAACUAUCCUCUGCAAAUCUUGUCAGGACUUGAUUUCAGGCUUUGUCUGUACCUAUCAAGAGUAGUCAAGUAGUGGAGUCCUUACUAGACAUGCCCCCCUUUUUUGGAUGAAUUCCCAGGUUAUUUUGUAUCUCAGCUGGAUACCCCAGGUCUUAAAAGUUAUGAAACAGGUCUCUUCACUUUUGCUGGGCUGACCCUUUAAUAUCUCCCAGCACAGUGACCUCCGAUAGCCCUAUUCCACUCUUAACCUUGCAGCAGCCACCCUAGUAAGCACUGGGUGAUGCUGCCCUAUACGAGCUGGGUAGAUUCACUUACAGAUUUCUGCAACUGCUCUCUGCAAAAAUGCUUCUACUAUGGUGCUCCUUUUCAGAAUUUCCAGCCACUUCCAGUGCCCUGAAUUCUUAUCUUCUCCUCCUCAGCUCAGCAGGACUAACUUGCCCUUUUUGGAUCCUAAUGGCUACACUACCUUUGGGGAAUUAUCCUCACGUCAAGAACCAGUGAGUUUCCUUAUCCCAAGGAUUGUACUCUUGUACUGCUUAUAAAAGAUAACCAGUAAAUUUUGUCUCUUUCCCUCCCCUGCCUUCAAGAGGCACAGGAUCAUGAGAAGCUAAUGUGAGAGAGGCUCUAGUCACUUAAAACUCUUCCUCUCCUACUUUUCUCUAGGAAAAUUUAUAAGAAAGAUUCACUUGCUUUCUAAAAUGAAAAAUUGCUGGAGUUCCUGUUAUGACACAAUGGGAUUGGCAGUGUCUCUGGAGCUCCAGGACACAGGUUCGAUUCCCAGCUUAGCACAAUGGGUUAAGGAUCUGGCAUUGCGGCAGAUGUGGCAUAGGUUGCACCUGUGGCUUGGAUCUU
rnacentral:lncRNA from 1 species